rnacentral:lncRNA from 1 species
ACACACACAUAUAUAUAUAUAUAUAUUUGUAUAUAUACAUCGGGCUUCUUUCAGUUUCCGGCUACUUACCACACAGCCGUUUAUACCUCGCUCAGAGAUUUAUUAUUGAUUGCUUCCACUUUUUUGGAGAUCAGUGACUUUUCGUCACUGGAAAAAGUAUAUAUAUAUUUUUAUUGAGAAUCAUUUUCCAUCGCCAACCGGUGGUUGUCACGAGCUGAUAACGGGUCAAUACCCAGAAACUCAUGUACGUUUGUAUCACGUCAAGCUGGAGAUGGGAACGAUGACAUCCCUUUGCAAAUACCGAUAGGGCACAGGCAGUGUGUCAAUAGACAGCUGGAGGAGAUGUCUUCUUGGGGCUACAAGCUACAGUAGCUCUUAAGGGUUAGCCACAUUCAGGUGGCAAAUAUACUGCACUAUAUAUAUAUAUAUAUAUAUAUAUAGGGUGCGAUGGGUGAAUUAUUGCCAUUUUAUAUUUUUAAUCUUGCACAUGCUCAUUGUUUGUUCUUGAUUUUGUCGACUACACAGUAUAGUAGGGUCAGUUGGGCACCGUCUGUGAGAAAAACUCCAUGAUGCAAUUCACUCUGCCAAAAAAUUGAAAACAACAUGCUAUACAUCUUGGCAUUUGCGCCGCAAGCGCCAAUACAAACAGUUGCUGAAAACACAGAAUAACCGUUGGCUUCCUGUGUCCCCAAAACAUGUACCGAAGGUGAUAAAAAUCAAACAUCUAGUCAAUAUCAUGGUAGAGUGACCACUAGCGAUGGCGACGUUAUGCCUAUAUUCAUCUUCCCUCACGGCCUGUAACUUAACACGGAUGCCUACAUCAAGUGCCUGGAGGAGGUAGUGCUGCUCUGGGUCAAGGCGGUGGCUGCUGGGAGACCCUAUUUCUUGCAAAAGGACUCUGCACCAUGUCACACAAGCAGGAGAACCCAGUCGUGGCUGUCAAACAAUUUCUGCGACCACAUCAUACCCUAACAUCUGCACCAGACUGCACCUACCCCGCCCUUGAUUAUCAUAUGUGGGGUGCAGUUGAGUGAGAGACCAACAAAGCCCCUUGUAACACCAAAGAUGAACUGAAGGCAAGGAUUAUGGCAGCAUUCACCAAUUUAAACAAAGUGACUGUCCAGAAGAGUUGCAAGAAAUUCCAAAGUCGUCUGGCGGCUGUAGUUGAAGCCAGUGGCGAUUUUAUUGAAUAAAUUUACUCUUUAGUAUUUCAAGAUACAGUGAUAUCUCGUAGUACGAGUUUCAUUCGUUCCAUGACCAAGCUCGUUUUACGAUUACUCGUUUUACACAUCCGUUUUCCCAAUUGAAACUAACUAAAAUAUAAUUAAUCCGUUCCAACACCCCAAAACCACUAAAAAAUAUUUUUUAUGGGUUUUAAAACAGAAAAGAUGUAAUUACAAGUAAAAUGACAAUUAUAAAAAAAAGUGAAUGCAAAAGAAAUAUGUAAACUGGUUUUAUUCUUUUCUACUCUAAGCACAAGGCCCAAAAUUUGGGAGGAGAGCGCCAGUUGCUUAGAUCGACAUCAUUCCGCAACUGGUACUUAAUUUAUCGACCCUGAAAGGAUGAAGGGCAAAGUCGAACUCGGCGGAAUUUAAACUCAGAACGUAAAGACAGACGAAAUACCGCAAAGCAUUUCGCCCAGCUCGCUGCCUUGUAAACUAGUUUUAUUAACUGAAUUAGCUUAAAGUUGGGACGAUUUGUGCACCAGGAAGACAAUGAUGCGGUGGAUUAUUGUUUGGAAGGAGAUUCUCCUGCCAUCAAGACUUCAGGACAGACAAUUUCUAGCGUUUUCUCUCUCACUUCGCUUAAUUUAGGCUUUUUGGACACACUUACUUCACUUUUUACACUUGCAGGUCAUUUCAUUAGAAACCUAUCAAGAGAAGUCUGCUUUUUCCUGCCUUUCAAAAUGCUACGAAAAUGUGACAGAAAGGUCACACAGGAGAGCUAAGAAGUAGGGGAGAUAACAAAGUAGUAGUGAUCCCAAAACGAAGGUGCGCGUGUGUGUAAGAGAGUACGUAUGUGCGUGUGAAAGAGGGCUGGUGAUCUUGACGUGUGCGUGUGUGUAUGUGUAGGUGUGAAAAUGCGGGGAUGGGAAUUGGUCAGUGCUGGUGUGUUGUGAUGUGUUAUGUGGUACGGUGUAGUGUGGUGUGAUGAUGUUGGGAGGUGAGAGUGGGGAAAGCACGGGUGGGGUGUGGGUUAGGCUGAAGGUUGGGGUAGAGGUGGAGUAUGUGGGAAGGCAGAGGGUGGGGAAUGUGGGAGAGGGUGACGAUGAAGGGGGAAGGGGAAGGUGGUAUGAGAGAAGCGAGAAAGAGAGAAGAGAGUAGGGGUGAAGAGAAGUAGGAGUUGGAGCAAGGGAGGAAGUAGGAGUGAGUGGAGAGAGGCAAGGGGAGGAGGUUAGAUGAAGAGGGGAGGAGAGUUGAACCCAUAUGGUGCAAAGGAGCGAAGAGAGAAGAUUAAUUCCUAAUCACGGCACAAACGGGAGUCCGGAUGGCCUCUGCAAGGACAAUUCGAACACGGACAGGUGUUGCAAAGAGUGACCGGUAGAGUGAAAACGGCGUGAGACCGUGGUGUAAUUGCCGAGGCGGAUGCCUUGGAGGUGUUCCGCGAACCGGUCAGCCAAGCGGCGUCCCGUUUGUCCGAUAUACAGAGAGUGGCAGAGAGAGCAGGAGAUGCAAUAGAUGAUAUUGGUAGAAGUGCAGGUGAAGGAGUCGGUGAUGUGAUAGGGUCGAUGAUGGGUGCUGGUGAGGAGGGUGGUGUUGGAGAGGUAAGGGCAAGUGCGACAGCGUGGGCGGGAGCAAGGGAACGAGCCAGAUUGUGAGGCUGGGUUGGGGAAGAAUCUGUGGACCAAGAUGUCUCGUAGGUUGUGGGCUCGUUUGAAGGAGGGGAGAGGUCGGGUAGGGAAGAUGUGUGAAGUGAAGGGGUCGGACUGGAGAUGCCACAAAGCUCGGAGAAUGGUGUGUUGGAGAGGUAGGGCGGUGGGGUGGUAGGUGAGGGAAAACGGGAGGCGGGAGACGACGAGCAGGUUCGGGGGGAGAGAGAAGAUGCACGGUCCACGGAACGUGCUCUGGUAAGGGCGGUGUGGAUAGUGGUGAGGGGAUAUCCACGUAGGAUUGAAGUGGCAAGUUGAGACUGAGUCUCAAAGUCAUGGUCGUCACUACAGAGACUGCGUAGACGGAGGAAUUGAGAAUAGGGCAUUGAAAACUUGGUGUGUUUAGGGUGGGAGGAGGAGAAGUUGAAGUAUGAGUGUGAGUCUGUGUGUUUGUAGUGGAUGGAGGUGGUAAGAGUGGAGUGAUGAAUACUGACCAAAAAUUUCAAGAAAGGAGACAGAGGUGUCAGAGAUAGUGCAGGAGAAGUGGAGGGCAGGAUGGAAAGAUUAGACAAAAGAGAGGAAGGAGUCUAGAUGUUCGCGGGAGAGUGAGGUUGCACCGAUACAGUCGUCAAUAUAACGGCUAUAUAGUUCGGGAGUGGGACCAGUGAAACUUGAGAAUAUUUGGGCCUCAACAUAACCAACGAACAGGUUCCCAUAGUUGGGGCCCAUUCUCGUUCUCAUGGCCACUCCCGAGAUCUGCUGGUAGAAAUCGCCCGCGAAGGAGAAGCAGUUGAGUGAGAGGACAAUUUCGGCCAAAUAUGCAACAGGAUAUCCAGAGUUGAUGCAGUAUGGCCGUUUGAAGCAACUUGAACAAUGCAAUCAUUACAUUAAUUUAAAUGCAGAGUUAUCCUCAGCUGCAUAAAUAAAUAAUAAAUAAUAUUAGCUUAUAUAUAACAACACCGGAAACUCCACAACUUAUAAUAUACCUUUUAGAUUAUUAUUUUAUUAUUAGCAUGUUCUAUCGCCCCAGUAUUCCUUUAUUAAAUUGCCAGUAAAUACAAGUGGAUAAUCUUCAUUAUUACCACCUAAUAAGUAAAUAUUUAAGUAUAUGAAUAAAUAUUAAACUAAUUCUACGUAAUUUUUUUCUCUCUCUAUUGUUGCAAAUUUGGUAUAUACUCAAUAUUAUUAAAAAAUUUAUCAUUUUGCUUAUAAUAUUUUCUGUUCCCCUGUAUUAUAAUCAUUGGUUUUAUUAGAGUCUUGCCCCUUUAAUUGGUAAUUAACAUUUUGAUUUAAGAUCUUCCUUUACUAAACCUCAUUAUAACCAGUUACUUUAUACUGCUUCAAAAUAAUCUUGACAAGUUUUAUAACUAUACCCACUAUGAUUCUGACAUCUCCCUUGUGUCCUUUCCUAUCAGACACUGCUCUAUUGUCUUAGAUUUUGAUAUACAAAGAUUUGAUAAACUAGGACUAUAAAUCAAAACCGACCCCUAAAAUCAGUGACAAGCUAGAACCCUAACAAGUUUCUUUUUAUUCGUGAUGUCUUAGUAGCUUCUAAGCUGAAGUGGAAACAGCAUGGACUUUGUCUUCUUACCCACUUAGAAGAUUUAAGUAACAUUAUACAUAGGCGCAGGAAUGGCUGUGUGGUAAGUAGCUUGCUUACUAACCACAUGGUUCCAGGUUCAGUCCCACUGCGUGGCACCUUGGGCAAAUAUCUUCUACUAUAGCCUCGGGCCGACCAAAGCCUUCUGGGUGGAUUUGGCAGACGGAAACUGAAAGAAGCCCGUCGUAUACAUGUAUAUAUAUAUAUGUGUGUGUAUAUGUUUGUGUGUCUGUUUGUCCCUCCCACCCCCACCUCAACAUCGCUUGACAACCGAUGCUGGUGUGUUUACGUCUCCGUAACUAGCGGUUCGGCAAAAGAGACCGAUAGAAUAAGUACUAGGCUUACAAGGAAUAAGUCCUGGGGGCAAUUUGCUCGACUAAAGGCGGUGCUCCAGCAUGGCCGCAGUCAAAUGACUGAAAUAAGUAAAAGAGUAAAAUGUGUCUGACUGAUGAUUAAAUUAACACUAUUUACUUAUCUAUGCAGCUGCGGAUAGCUCUGCAUUUAAAUUGAUAUAAUGAUUGCAUUGUUCAAUUAAAUGGAGUCGCUUGAAACGGUUGCACUGCAUCACCUCAGGAUAUCCUGUUGCUUAUUUUGAUUUUAUUCACCUUAUUUUUGAUAUUGUACAGAUAAUAUCGAACUAAUUUUUUGUGCCUCAACCUAAGUACCUAAUUCAUCUAAAUCUCAAUUAUUUUGCUGAUAUAUAUAUAUAUAUAUAUAUAUAUAUAUAUAUAUAUAUAUAUAUAUAUAUACAGAGGGCUGUUUUUCUCACAGAUGGUGCCCUGUGUAGUCGACAAAAUCAAAAACAAACAAUGCGCAUGCACGAAAUUAAAAAUAUAAAUGGUGACAAUUUAGCCAUUGCAUCAUGUAUGUAUGUAUGUAUGUAUGCAUGUAUGCACAUACACACACACACAUAUGUACAUAUAUAUAUAUAUACAUACGCACCAGCCGCGGAGAGCCUAUUGUAAUGCACCCUUCAUUUUGUGGCAGCGUGUGCGUGCAACACAUGGGUCGUCUAAGAGACCAUAAGUCAGGGAAAAGAUGGACUCAUAUAUCUGUCAGUAGAGUGGGUAUAUUAUCCGAAAUGUAUAGUAUUAAAUUUCCAUCACGGUUGGUCUUACCAAUCGGUUUCGCGUAAAUUAUACAAUGGAGUGUCAGGUAAAAAUCCGAUUAUAUAACUUUACGCUCAUCAGAGUUAGCUGAGAGAGAGAGCGAGAUGCGGUAUCAUUCGUUUGUUUUGACGAAUAGAAUUCAGUUGUUCGACCACCUGAAAGUACUACUCGUUCAAUUAACGUGUAAGUGGUUGUGUAUUCCACAGACAUGUGUAGCGUCAAUGUAAUUCUGAGCACAAUUUAAUCCGACAAAAUAGAUGACAAGGUUGGAUCUUUAAAUCACCGGCUCAAUACAUUCGACAGAAUUCCAAGUGUUCCGUCAACCGAAUUUCAUGGUAGCUGAAAGCAGCACACUUCACCUUUCCUUUAAAUAAACCAGUUGUAAAUAGCAGUUGUACUUAAAGUCUUUUCUCUUCGCCAGCCGAAAGCCUGAAUUACAUAAAGAACAAGAAGAAUGAUGGAAGGAGAUGAUAUUCCUUCGAUAUCAUAAAACUUGCCUUCCAUUACUAAACAUAAUAUAUAUACGUACGUAGGCCCGCGCGCACUCACACACACACACACACACGUAUACAUAUAUACGCACAUACACACAUACAUACACAUAUACGCAUGCAUGCAUACAAACACACAUACAUAUGUAUGCAUGGACACAUACAUACAUACAUACAUACAUACAUACAUACAUACAUACAUACAUACAUACAUACAUACGUACGUACGUACAAAAUCCUGUUUUCCUUAAUUCGAAAGUUAAAGAAAAAACACGCUCAAUUAAGAGACCAAUAUGGUGGAAAUAGACCGGAUAAUUGAACAGUCAGAUAAUGAUAAUAAUUGUUCCUAUUAUGGGUUAAAUGCGUGAAGUGUUGGGGGAAGAUUAGAUAAAUUUACCACAAAAUUUGGUUGGUACUUUUAUUUUAUCGACCUUGGAAGGAUGAAAGGCAAAGCCGACCUCAGCCAGACUUGAAUUCUGAAUGUAAAGAUCCGGAAGAAAUACUGCAAGUUAUUGUGUAUAAUACUUGAAUGAUUCUUUCUAUUCACCACCCUUAAGAAUAACUAUAAAUGUUUAUAUUAUAAGCACAAGACUUGGAAUUUAUGGGGAGACUGCUUGUCGAUUACAGGAAGAAUUUGAGCUCAAAUAUUUCAUCAGUAGUCUGAUGAAAUACUAAGCAUUUUGUUUCUAUUUUAAACACAAAGCCUAUAAUUUUGUAAGGAGGAAGUCAGUAGAAACCAUCGUCCUCAGUACUUAUUUUAUCGAUGAAAGGUAAAAUUGACCAUGGCAGGAUUUGAACUAGGAACAUUAAGAGAGAUGUUGUCCUGAGAUCUAGAAACACUAUGUCUCUUCAAAUCUUUCCUAGUGCUCUUGUGGAGUACACAAUGACAUUUUUCUGCAUGUCGAUAAUACGUGCUUAAAUUUCAUUAUAUUCCGGCCUCUUAGGUAGCAGUUUGGGCGUUGUGAAAAGUCCACAUGUUACCAGAGGAACAAUUUUCACGCUUGUGUUCCACAAUCUCUUCAUCACUAUGGCUAUGUCUUAAUAUUUUACAAAUUUCUCAGUUUGUAUUAUCCAUUCUGCUAUCAUAUGAGUUUGUUAUUUCUAUCCUCCAAGACAUUUCCUUGCUUUAAUAAUACGAUCAGUUUUUCAGGAGAAAUCCCAUAAAAUCUUGUAAUUAUCAUUCACCAUUACAGCUUCUGGCCUUUGAGCAUACCACUUUUCUGUCAUUUAAAAUCCACAAACUUAGCUAACGUCGCAAUGCACAGUUUUACCAGCAGACAUGCUUGCGUUUAUACUUUUUUUUAGUUAGCGUACUGCACUCGCUCAGAUGGCCAAUACUUUCACCACCUAUCUACCCUUUUUCACCUACUAUGGGGUCUUGAAUAAUCGUCCGCCUCCAACACCCGCUUAUUAAUUUUUCAGAUUUUUCCACACACACACACACACACUUUUAUUCCCUCCUCACUCCGCUUAUUAAUUGUUCAGAUUUUUUCCACCCCUGCUUAUUAAUUUUUUGGAUUUUUCCACCACCACCCCUGGCUUUUAUCUUCUUCCGCAGCUUAUUAAUCAUUAAGAUUCUGCCCCCGCUUUUAUUCCAACUUUCUCCCCCUCAUUAAAUUUUGAUAAUCUAUCUCCCGCGAAAUCUUAUUGUAAGCUACUUAUAUUGAUACAACCACUAGUGUAGCUAGGGGUGGGGCGGUACUUUUGGAUCUGCUAUAGGCAAUAUAUGUUUUUUUUUUGUGGGGUCGGGAGCCGGCAAACAGAAGGGUCGCCCCUGGCGGCACACACUCUAGCUACGCUAGUGGGUGCAACAGCUGGAGAAUCUAAUAAUUAUUUUAUUUUAUGUUAAAAACAUUCUAUAUAUAUGAAAAAAAAAAGAACAUUACAAGUAAUGACAUCUAUAUAUAUAAAACUGUAGUUGUGUGAGUGUCUGUCCCCUUCGAUUUAGAUUCCUAACUACUCCCACAUUUUGCGGUGCAGUUUAACCAAAUUCGGGUAUCUUAUAGUCGUGAUUCAUAUCGAGCCCGUCUGGCUAUUAGCGCGCGUCUACGAUGAGUCUACGAUUUUAAAAAUAAUUUAACAUCAUUUUUUAUUCCAUUUUAAUGCAUAAUUUUUCGUGUGUCGAUGGCGGCGGAGUUGGCGUCCAUGGUCACACCUGCACCUGUUUGCUUCUCCCCCUUCUUUCCCUCCCUUGUGAAGCUGUGGGGAAGGGAGUGUAAGGAAAUCAACGUCGUAAAGCGUUGUCAAGGAGACCAGCGUUCUUUUAGAACAACGACUUCAUGGCUUGAAGACACCAAAACAGAAAUGGCUAAGAAAGCCCGAUAUUGGCAUCUAUAAGGAAGUAACUCUCUAAAAAUGCUUAUAUAGUUAUUUCCCUUACAAACCCAAGCAACGCCGGGCGAUACUGCUAGUCUUUAUAUAUAAAAGUAAGGUUGUGUGCUGUCUGUCUCCUACGAUUUAGAUUCCUAACUACUCCCACAUUUUGCGGUGCAGUUUAACCAAAACCGGGUAUCUUAUAGUCGUGAUUCAUAUCGAGCCCUUCUGGGUAUUAGCGCGCGUCUACGAUGAGUCUACGAUUUUAAAAAAAAUUUACCAUCAAUUUUUCCCAUUUUUAAUGCAUUUUUGGCAUAUAUAAGGGAAGUAACUCUCUAAAAGUUUAUUAUUAAAUCUCAGAACGUAAAAAGCUACAGUAACCUUUGUGGUUAACCAUAUUGAGAUAGCUAUUAUACUUUACAUCUCUAAAAAUGCUUAUAUAGUUAUUUCCCUUACAAACCCGAGCAACGCCGGGCGAUACUGCUAGUAUGUUAUAAAAUAAAUUGGAUGUAUUAACUAAAUAAUUAAUUCUUGUUUUAGAAAAAAAUCAAGGCUGACAUCCUAGAAAAUUUUAAUAUGAAUUCUCAUUUAGGCACAAGACCAACAAUCUGUGUGGGGGGACAAGUGGAUUAAAGCAACCGAAGUACAUUCUGGUACAUUAUUUUAUCGACCCCGUAGGGAUGAAAGGUAAAGUUAACCUCAGCGGGAUUGAACUCAGAGCGUAAUGGGCCAUAACUCUACGCUGCAAGACACGUUGCCCGAGGCUUAGGCACAAGGCCAGCAAUUUAAAGGAAGGAGAAGUCGAUUAAACUAACUCCUGUUACUAGUACAAAACAACAAACUCUGGGGAAUCCAUUAUUAUUUUGACUGACACAAAUUGUGCAUCAGCAUGGAAAAAAAGAAGCAGAGGACAGGAAUGAGAAGAAAACUUAGAGUGUUCUCUUUGUUUUCGUAAUGCAUGGAAGAAAAAUAUUUAUCCACAGUAUAUGUAACCAAAGUUCAUGUGGUGAGACUUCAACAUUUUAGGGCAUUGAUAACCUUCAACCUUAAGAAGAUCAAUCAUUUCGAUACACAGUACACCUGCUUCAGGACACAUAGAAAACAAGGAAAUUACUGUCAGAAAAUAUGCUUUACAACCAGCCAGAAUUUAUAAAAUCUUGAGGCUGGACAACUGCCCCGCGUGAGUUUACUGCUACUCCACACUGUAGUCAACAAAACUUCAUUUUCAGUUUCUCUACGAUUUCGCGGAUCUUUUCCUUUUGAACGGCACAUGUCAGCACAAUUUCUAGUUAACUAAACACUUUAAAACUUCGUAUACUGGUAGAAUGUGUCAAAAUAAGACAUUUUUUCCUCUUGGCUUUCUUGAUAAAAUUGUAAUUCGUUUAUUUAUCGUAGUUUAAUUUUUAGAAUUUUAACCAAUGAAUCGCCUCUAAUUGAGCUAAAAUCAUUUGCUGCGUCUAAAACUGAGACAACAUCCUGUCACUAACCCUAACCCUAAUUUUUUUUUUCUUAAUUGUUAAAUUAAUUUAAUUGUUACGCGUGUAAAAAAAACGUUUUUUUUACACGCGUAACAAUUAAGAAUAAAAAAUUAGGGUUAGGGUUAGGGUGAGGUUUAGGGUUAGUGACAGGAUGUUGUCUCAGUUUUAGAUGCAGCAAAUGAUUUUAGCUCAAUUAGAGGCGAUUCAUUGGUUAAAAUUGUAAAAAUUAAACUACGUUAAACAAACGAAUUACAAUUUUAUCAAGAAAGCCAAGAGAAAAAAAUCUUAUUUUGACACAUUCUACCAGUAUGCGAAGUUUUAAAGUGUUUAGUUAACUAGAAAUUGUGUUGACAUGUGCCGUUCAAAAGGAAAAGAUCCAAUUUCGCUUACAAUCACCAACAUAAAUCCCACACAAAAUAAGAACUUCAAUGGCGAACUGUUUAUCCUUACAUGACAAGCUUUUUAUGGAAUAAGGAUUUAACAUCAAUACGACUAGUCAUUUCUCUUUAAACUUUUUUUCAUAACAUCAUGACAGACAAAAGAGUAUUUUGUGGUGCACCGCAUCGAAAUUAUUCUAUAGAAGAAAAGCAAGUACUUGCUAUCGUGGUGAACAAAUGCAAAGAGGAAUACGAUUCUGAAUUAUAGCAAAUGAAAGGGAAAACUCAUUGGGAUGCUAAAAGGAAACGCCAUGUCCCAGACAUAGUUCACUUCUAUAUAACAUUUUAAAUACAGAGUAUUUUGUGUUGCUAUGUUGAUAAUUAGUAUGCUAUUAUGCUUGACAUUAUAUAUAUAUACUUAACGUCUAGUACUACUAUGUAGAUAAUUAGUACACCAUUUUCGCUUUUUAUCAUUAAGAAUGAUGUCCUAUAUAUGGUGCACAAUCUAUUUUCAAAGAUGGUUGGAGGUUCAUAGAACUUUAUAUAUUUAGUUAGCUGAAAUUUGGUGACCAGGUAUAAGUAGUGUUGGAAACAGAAGGUAACAUUAACCACUGAUUACUCAUUACUCCCUGACACUCAGAAGUUAUCCCCCACCUCUCUGUCUCUCUCUGUGUCUCUCUCUGUCUGUCUCUCUCUCUCUAUCAGCAUGGCUGCAGUCAAAUGACUGAAACAAGUAAAAGAGUAUAUAUAUGUGGUACUUUUUUAAUAGAUUUUUUUAUAUUACCUUCUAUAGAAUUUAGUUGUCAUGUUCCAGCACAAAACCAUAUGUUAUAGCUGGCACUGCAAAUGUGUGGAUGGUGCAGAUAGUGUUCCUGGUAGUGUGAUGAAUUUUUAGUAUUUGAGCCUAUCGAGGUAUUCAUUUUUCGUUCUUGUUUGGACAUUUUUCAUGCACAGUUUUACUUUCAUCUCUUCCCCAAAAUUUGUAGUGAAAUUCCAAAUCAUCUGUUUCACUGCUUCAUUUUAUUAUUAGUUUCUGGCACUUCUUCAGCCAAAGGACAUCUUAAUGUCUUUGCUAAACUAUUUAUACAACUGCAGCACACAGUUUUAGGCCAUCCAUGAGAAUGAAAGGGUGUCUGAACCUCCCUUUCCAUAUAGUAUCAUAAGUUGACUUUUUUUUUAAUUAGUGGACUUUAAUUUAACAAGCAUAAAAUCAAAUGAAGAAGAAAGGUACAAUGCAAAUACUAUUCUCUUGAAAUAUCCAACUAGAUAUUUCAGAGAGGCUCAGCUUACAACGACAGUUUUGUUAAUGAUAGUAAGAACUGUCUGCCAUGCUUUCCUUGUUAUUUUAAUGACAUUCACCAUAUUGUCCUCACAUUGAUGUACUUAAACAUUUUGAUAAUACAAUCAUUCAGGACUGAAUCCUAAGCUUUUCUUGUAGCUGAUUUAGGAGCAUGACAGGUUCUUUUUCAUGCCUUGACAUCAUCCAGUACUACCUUGAGAACAAGAACCUGGUUAAUUGCUCCAAACAACUAUUGCAUACAUCCCUUAUGCUUUAUAGGAAUGACAUUUUUUAAUAUAUGAUAAGUUAUUCUAUUGAAUAGUAUUUUAGAGAGUGCUGUAUAAAUUACCAGCUGACAAAUGCUGAUGCAAUUGUUACAUAAAUCAUCUGCUGGUCUUUUCUUGGGGAUCAUUUUCGUCAUACUUGUAAGGAGCUAUUGAAGCACUUAGUCUGGGCUCUUUAAGAAGGUGUUGAAGAUGACUGUGCUGCACAUCAAAUGACUACCUUUAUAAAUUUCAGAUAUUAUCAAUAUCAGAACAUUUCCAGUUUUUGAUGAACCUCAAUACUGGAAGAGAUGAGUUUUUUAUGUUUUAUUUUUUCCUGUUUCUUUUGUAGCUAUGAACUCUUCUUGCUAGAUAUUGUUGUUGUUAUAUUUAGGUUUAUUUUAAAAAAUGAGUUUCCAUAGUGUGUCAGUGUUUUCUUCCUAUAUUUCAGGAACUGCAUAAAUAUCCCUGAUGGGUGUAAGGUAGUAUUGUUAGAUAUAAUUUCAAAUGUACUUUGUAUUCUAACAUUGUCCUCAAAACAUUAGCUUAUAUAGGUAGCUAGAUAGAUAGAUAGGUAGGUAGGCAGGCAGGCAGGCAUAAUGAAGGUGGCUAUAAUCAAUAUAAAUCCAAAAAGGAAAAAUUGAAUUGUUGUCACUAAUUGCGACUUACAGUGCAGGGUAGCACCUACAUUGUUAGGAAUAAGAGCUAAAAAGUCACCCCACAGUGAGUGAGAUCAUCAUACUAGUCUAGUUUCAUUUUGAAUUAAAAGCUCAUCAGUGAUGACUACUCCAUUGCUGGAUAGUUUAGCUAAAUCCCAACUGUCAGUAUAUAGUAUUUACAAUAUGAAUUGGACUUAGUCCUCAGUAAAGUUUUUGGAGUGUAAGUUCAAAUCAUUUGACCAUUACGAAGUAUUUUCCAUAUUAAGCAUCUCUGUAUCUCAUCUGUUGACUCUAUAAAGUUUAUAACCAUUUAAUGUUGAAGACUGGAGAGAGCUACAGUAACUGUUCAAAAUAUUCAAGUUUUAUAUAUUUCAGAAACUUAUGAGAUUUAAAUUUCCAAUUCAGAACUUAAAGUGCCAAGGAAUUUGAAUCAAACUGUUUUGAUCAAUACAUGAUCUCUGAACAGCUAUGCAUUUCUCCCAUUGAUUAACAAGGUCAUUUAUGCAUCUUCAAUAAAAAUCCAAAGGUUUUGAUCCCAAGAAAUCCUUGAAUUCAGUUUCAACCUUGGUUUUGGAACAGAAAGCUUUUUUUUUUGUCUUAAAAAGUAUCUAGAUGCUUGAAAAAGUGGUAGUCAGUGGAUGAAAGAUCAGGAGAAUAUGGAAGAUGUGGUAAAAUCUCGUAUCCCAAGUUCAUGAACUUCUGCAGUGCCAUCCUGGAAACAUGCGGUCAAGCAUUGUUGUGGAGCAGAAUUGGACCACAUCAAUUAACAAGUGCAGGUCUCAUUUUGCUUAAGUGAACAUGCAUUUCUUUCAGUUACUUACAGUAAACAUCCAAUGUAAUGCUCUGGUUAGGUUCCUGAAAGCUCUAUUGUUUUUAAAUGCUGAUCAUCAAGGGCAGAUGGAUGUCUUCUAACUUCUUGAUCUUCAAGGCUCUCAUCCUCACUACAGAAUCAUUCAAACCACUGUUUUACCAGUGGUGGCUGUUAUGGGAAGCAUUAUAUCCAAGCUUGAAUUCAUACAAAAUGAAGUAAAUGCAUUUUUUUUCUUUUUAUCAUGUUUGAAAUUAAGGAUUUCUAUGCUUCAAAAUUAUAUUCUGAGAGAAAGCAUUAAAAAUUUAUGAAGAGUACACAUCAAUUAUUAAGCAUAUAAAAUUUCAUCUAAAACUCUACAACGAUAACAUCUUAAAUCAAAUUUGAAAAAAUGUUUUUAAAAAAUCAAACACUAUUUUCCAAACAACCUAUAUAUGGCAUAUAGAGAGCAAGUAUUGGUUUCAAAUUUUGGCACAAGGCAAGCAAUUUCUGAGGGGGGUUGGUAGGUUGAUUACAUCAACUCCAAUACUCGACUGGCAUUUAAUUCAUCGGUUCCCUAAGGGAUGAAAGGCAAAAUCAAUCUCAGUAAAAUUUGAAUUCAGAGCAUAAAGAUGGACAAAACACCACUAACCAUUUUGCCCUGCAAGUAUUGAACAACAAAGUUCUCUGAAUUAGUAGCAAAGGAGGAAUAAAUCUCACAGUUGCUGUACCUUAUAUUAUGUAUUAAAGGCGAUGUCUGGAACAUAAGAGUAAUCAUCAUCAUCAUAAUUUAAUGUCCAUUUUCCAUGCUGACAUGGGUUGGGUAGUUUGACAGGAGCUGGCAAGCCAGAAGAUUAUAUCUGGCUCCACUGUCUGUUUUGGAAUGUUUUUAUGGCUGGAUUCCCUUCCUAACACCAACCACCUUACAUAUUAGUAUUAAAGUGCUGGUACUGCAUAGGGUGCCUUUACAUUUCGAACUUUUCUACAUCACUACACUGAAAUGAAAUCAUUUCAACUUACUAUAUUUUUCAUCUAUGAAGAUAGAUAUUUUGUCUGGUUGAAAGAAACAUGUAAUUGUUCUUUAUAUUUAACUAGCUGGCCCCAUGCCUUCAAAAAUGAUGGCUAAUUGUAGUGUUUUAUAUAUAAAUAAGGUACAAAAACAAGUUUUUAGUUUAAUAAUUCUUUUAUUACCAAAUUUUUUGUGAAAAAUCUAUCUGCAACUAAUAUCCCUUAACUGCUUGUUUCCUUUAAAAGAAUUUUAAAGUUUUCCUUCCUUCUUGUACGACUUAAGGCCACAUAAAGUUGGCCAUGACUAAAUACGAGAGUUGGCAAGUAAAUUUGUUUUGAAGUGACAUUUCCUUUCAAUUGCACUCUCCAUUAUUGAACCAACCUAAGCUCAUGUGACCUAAAGCCACAAAAAGCAGUCCAUGACUUAUAGUUGAUGUUCUAAAAUCUCCCUACUCAAAAUUUAUUGCAUAAAUUUCUUAAUAUAAAUAAAUUAGGCACAUGUAUGAACUGUUAAAUGUGUAUUUAUAAUAUACUUUUCAACUGCAGUCAUCUUAUAUUCUUGAUACACUCAAGCAAUAAUUAUUUUCUCUAAUCGGUUUGUAUAUGUUUGUGUAGAUAUGUGUAAUUGUAAUAAUUAUUUGUAAAACAACAGAUAGAAUAUGGAUGAUAAUUAAAUUAACACACUUCUCAAUGUCAUCUAGUGGUUUUCUUUUGAGAUGUGGCAUUGAUCAUCGUUUGUUACUGAAAGAAUGCUGAUUCACACAUACAAACAUUCACAUACUUCCCUUGUACAUUCACACACAUACAUACAUAUACUCAUACAGAGUUGAAACGCUGUUUGAUUUUUCUUUUCAGCAUUGAAUGUUCACCAUCCCACUUCCAUUGCACACAUACACACACACACACGCACACGCACGCACACACACACACACACACACACACACACACACACACACACACACACACACACACAAACAUUCACAUACUUCCCUUUUACAUACACUUACACAGAGCUGAAACACUGAUUUUUUUCUUUCUUUCACUGUAGAAUUUCCAUCAUCCCACUAUUAAGUUUGCUAUCAUCCCUUUCUUCCUUAUUAAUCUAUCACCCCUUCCUUUCUCAUUCAUAUGUUGUGACAGAGAAAAACACAAGAGUAUUAUUAUACUAGAUUAAAUUUCAUUAAACUUUAUUAUUUUUCAUUCACUUCGACAGAUUUCGUAACAAUAGCAUGUAUUCUUGGAACAGGAAUUCUUGGUAAGUAAAAACAUUUUUUUAACGUUUUUGAACUUCUUCAAAUUCUGAAAAUUUUCUCAUUUUUUUAUUUACUAUUAUUAUUGUUGUUGUUGCUGCUGCUGUUGUUGUUAUUGUUAAUAUGGUCAUUAAUUAUAUUUUCAUUACAAUUUGAUGUGACAACUGAUACACCCUUCCUCAAAGAUACUUUAACUUUGUAUUUUAUUAUCCAUACAUUUUUUAAUUUGUCCAAACAUAAAAUGUAUUCAAUUCAUAUUUAAGUGUGACAGAUGUGCCCACCACCACCACUACCACCUUAUGAAAUAUUAAACAUGCACCUACCAUUGGAAGUUUUGUUCAUUCAAACAUUUCAGCAUUAUCAGCCAAUGUUAUUUGUCAAUGAUUGCUCAAUUACUUAAUUAGGCAGGAAACUCAGAAUUAAUGUAUUUUCUGUGAGUGUAUCACUUUAUGUUCACACACAAAAUAAGCAUACACAUGCACAUACAAUAAGAAAGAGCAAGAGAAAGAGAGAAGAAAUAAGUAUUUUUGCAUAUUUUCUGUGAUGUGGAAUUGUAAUUCUACCAUAUGCUUUUCAUGAAAACAAAUGUAAUUUUUCUAUACAUAUCUUAUGGAGUCUUUCUUAUAAAGAAUGUAACUGUAGAUGCUAAUCUAGAGGGAACCUGUUGCACUCCCCUGGUACCUGUAUAGCCUCCUAAAGAAAUGCAAAGGGGCUCUAGUUAAACCACUUCAGGUUCUCUUUCAGAGUUUCCUCACAACAGAGAGACUUCCCAAAAAGUUAAAGGAAGGCAUUAUAUGACCCAUCCAUAAGGGAGGUAACAGAGCAGACACUAAGAAUUAUAGACUUGUCUCUCUAACUUCCCAUGUCGGCAAGGUCAUGGAGUGCAUUGUCAGGAAGAUACCAACUGUGUUCCUUGAUACCCACCAUAGCUUUCACUCAGGCAGAAGCUGCCUUACACAGCUUUUGCAAUACUAUGACUGGGUGUUGAAACAAUUAAUGAAUUGCUCAAAUGUAGAUGUGAUAUAUCUUGACUUUGCAAAGGCCUUUGAUAAGGUUGAUCAUGGGAUGAUAUGUCACAAAUUAUGGGGACUUGGCAUAAGUGGGAAAAUUGGAGAGUGGUUGCAUGACUUCUUAAACGACAGAAGCCAAGCUGUAGCAGCCAAUGGAGCUCUCUCCAUGGAAACAUUAAUAGAAAGUGGAGUGCCUCAGGGAACUGUAUUGGGUCACUACUGUUCAUGAUGGAGCUUUCGGACAUACCAUCAGUUACACAGAUAGCCAUUCUUACUAGCUAUGUCGACAACACAAAAGUAGUACAAACAAUCAAGGAACAUUCUGAUACUAAUCUUCUACAGAAAGACCUAGAUGCCAUAGAUAAAUGGGUUGAGGACAACAUGCAAUUUAAUGCAGGCAAAUUCCAAGCCCUCUGCUACCAGCUAGUUGGUGCUCAAAAGUCACAACCACGAUACUUUGGACCAAAAGGAGCAGAAAUCCAAGAAUCACAUACAGUGCAUGAUUUUGGGUUUAAUAUGAGCAACAAAGACUUGUUUCACAUGCAUAUCACCAAGAUGGUGGCAGUGUACAGGCAAGUGGCCAGAUGGAUUCUGAAAACCUUCAGAUCAAGGGACCAGGAAACUAUGCUGGUCCUAGGGAGGACAUUUGUCCUCAGACGUCUGGACUACUGCUCUCAACUAUGGUCACCCUACACUGUAGGAUUAAUAGCAGAACUUGAGGAAGAUUGCAUCAAUGGAACAGCUGAGCAACUGGGAGAGACUGAAAGAGCUACAACUCUACUCUCUGGAGUGAAUACAGGAGAGGUAUGCAGUGAUAUAUGUAUGGAAGAUACAGGAGGGGUCGGCACCAAAUUUUAGAAUAGAAAGUUAUACCAAACCUUGAGAUGGACGUCACUGCAUUGUUCCAAAAGUCCCAGCUGUCUCAUCUAUGCUAAAACAUAUGAGGGAUUUCCAUUGAGUGAGAGUAGAUGUUUUCAAGAAACAACUUGACCUCUUAGUUUCCAAGAUCCCAGAUGAACCAAUAUCAAGGCAUCUCUGAAUUUGAAGUUACUAACCAUUAACCAUUUUCCCCACCUGGAAAAGACUUAGCAUUCAUGAGCACAUGUCUGCCCCAUUUUCUGGAGAGAGUGUAGUCAGUCUUUCUUGUGUGCCCAGCAGAUUGAUUGGUGAUCAGGAGACUGACUGAUUUCUUGAAGUUAGAGUUGUAGACCAGGUCAUUUGCAUCACAAAACCUCCUCAUUCAUAGGAUCAAAGCCAUAACCUCAAUAUACACCUUGGAACCUUCUGUGUUGCAGCCCAACAUGUGUUAAAAAUCACCAGGCAUGAAAAUAAGUUCACUGUCAUUUGUAGGUGCUGGUAUGGCUGUGUAGUAAAGAAGUUCAUUUCAGAGCUCCAUGGUUUUGAGUUCAGUCCCAUUGCAUGGAUUCUGCUGCUGGUGUCCUCUCCUAUAGCUGCAAGUUGACCAAUUCCUUUUAAGUGAAAUUUGGUUGAUGGGAACUGUAAGAAGCCUAUUGUGUGUGUGUGUGUGUGUGUGUGUGUGUGCGUGUGUGCUUAUUCUUCUUGUCUUGAUAUGAGCAUGUAGGUUGUAAUCAAAGAGUCAGUCUUCGUACAAACAGUGUUAUUUGAUUGCAAUCUCUAUGAAAGCAUGUUUGGAUAUUUCAUUAUUUGAUAGAUUAUGGGGGAAAAAUCCCUACUUUGCUUGGUAACAGACAAAGAUUGGCAACAAGCAGAACAUCUGUCCAAAGAAAUUCUACCUCAACAAAAUCUCAUCUGACUCAUGCAAGCAUGAAAAAGUAGACAUUAAAAUGAUGAUGAUUACAAUGAAAUAUAUGUGAGAAAGAGAGAGAGAGAGAGAAUAUGUAUGUGUGUCUAUUGAUUUAGAAACUACUGCAAUUAAAAUCAUUAUUCUUGAUGUAAAUAUCCUGAUUCUUUAUCAUUAAUCUUUUAAAUUGCUAAUCACUUAUUGGUAUAUUAUCUUUGAAUUAGGAUUGCCUGUGACUUUGUACAAAUCAGGAUUUUACCCUUUCUUGAUA